rnacentral:rRNA from 1 species
AGUGAACGCUGGCGGUAGGCCUAACACAUGCAAGUCGAACGGCAGCACAGUAAGAGCUUGCUCUUACGGGUGGCGAGUGGCGGACGGGUGAGGAAUACAUCGGAAUCUACUUUUUCGUGGGGGAUAACGUAGGGAAACUUACGCUAAUACCGCAUACGACCUACGGGUGAAAGCAGGGGAUCUUCGGACCUUGCGCGAUUGAAUGAGCCGAUGUCGGAUUAGCUAGUUGGCGGGGUAAAGGCCCACCAAGGCGACGAUCCGUAGCUGGUCUGAGAGGAUGAUCAGCCACACUGGAACUGAGACACGGUCCAGUCUCCUACGGGAGGCAGCAGUGGGGAAUAGUGGACAAUGGGCGCAAGCCUGAUCCAGCUAUACCGCGUGGGUGAAGAAGGCCUUCGGGUUGUAAAGCCCUUUUGUUGGGAAAGAAAAGCAGCAGGUUAAUACCCCGCUGUUCUGACGGUACCCAAAGAAUAAGCACCGGCUAACUUCG